GCGAGCCGGGUCCAGGGCGCGCGACCCCAAAUAGUGCCGGCCCCAUUCCGCGGGGAGACGAAGGGACGGGUCGACUGGGGCCGGGAGGAGGGGGCGGGAUGGGGAGGGGGCCUGGAGCGGAGGGAACCGGCUCCUCCGGUCGGCCGGAGAUAACGCGCGCACGCGCCGGAGCGGCUCUGACAACGAGCGCAGGCGGGGAAGCCUCGGCCAGCGCCGGCGUGCGCGCGCGAAUGGGGGCGCGCGCCCCUCGGCGUUCCUGGCUUCUGGGAGAGGGCGCGCAUGCGCCGGCCGCUGCCACCUACGGCGACCCUGGCAUGUGCCAGGGCUUCUCCCCGCCCCCUUCCUCGCUGCACCCGUGGAGAGCGUAGCAGCAGCAUCCACCGCCUAGCAGAGCCGCGGGCCACAGCGGGACGGCACAGUUCCAGCAGGGCAGCGGCUGCGCACGCGGGCGCCGGCUCGCACACAGGCGUAGGCCGCCCUCUACCGCCUGAAGGCCGGAGGCUGAGCGGGGCGCGAGCGGCUCCCGGAUCCCGGGAGGAGAGCCGCCUCCUGAGAAUGCUGUGCUCCCUACAGCGCUGGGAACGGACCGGCCCGUGCCAGCUCAGUCGGCUGCCCUAGGGGGCACCCGCACUAGAGGUUUUGAAGCUGGCUCCUUGCUACUUUAGGGGUGGGAGCUGCUGCUGCUCAGCCCCUGCAGCCCGCGUUUGGCCGCUUGGCUGCAGCUUCCAGCGCGAUCCUACAAUGGCAUCGCUCCCCCAGGAGACUCAGCGAAGCCCUACUUUAUCUUGUGAGAGCUGUUUCCACAUUCACUCUAAGAGAAAGACCGCCCCCCCACGAGGGCCUGAGUUCGAUGCCCGGCCUCUCCCGACCCGCGGCUGCGACAGUCCCUCUGAGGCGGAAGUUUAUUCAGUAUGGGAAAGAGAACAGCACGGGGAGAGGGGAGAGGCUUUGCCCUAGGAUGUGUCCUACCCGCUCGGACUCGGAAAAUUCCCGGCGCCCGCGAUGCAGAGCAGUGGGCCGAAGGGCUGCCUCAGAGCAGCCCAGACCGCCAGCUGAGCGGGAGGACCUGAGCGCGCCGCCCCAGCACACAAAGUAGUCGCGGGCCGAGGGGUGCCGCCGAGGCCAAUCAGAGCCGCGCGCCGCGUGAGUGGAGUGCGAGCCGGCCAAUCAGAGGGCCGGAAGAUGAGCUUCCCGUUCCAAACUCUUCCCUGUAGCCUUGGGACCCAGAUCCCAAGCCUGGGGCGCUUUACGGUGGGAAAGCGAAAUGGUGCCCUGAAGACAAGAAUCAUUUCUCAAGGCUUGGGCAUUUUAAAGUACGUACCGGGGACACUUAUCCCAAAACAAGUAGCGGCGGCCUUUUAGAUGUUAAAUAUUAAAAGAUCACAGAAAAGAGAUUUAAGAGGCAGUGGCCUGUCAAGAUUGCAAUCUGCCUAAUAGUCAAUAAAUUCACAUAUUUUUUGAGAAUAUGUACCAGGAACUCUAUCUUCUUAUGUACCAGGAACUCUAUCACAGAUACACAAAUAAGGUACUGCUGAUUCCGAACAAGAAAAUCCCUUGUCCUCAAGCAGCUCAGGUUCUGAGGGAGGUUUUGCUAGACCCUGUGACUCGUAUUUAUUGUCAGCUCUUUAAACAAAAAGCACUCUAUGAAGUGCUGUACUUUACAGUCGUUUUUAUGAUUUUUAUCUCCCUGUGAGAAAAGAAAAUUGAAAGGAAAGUAGAGUGACUUAUCCAAGAUCACACAAAAGAUGUUCUAGCUCAGUUUGGGUGUCAUCAUUCAAUAAAAUUAUUCAAUAACAAUUU